UUCAAAACCACAGAGUCGGUCCGCCAUUAGAGAGAGAGAAUCGGAGAAACGAUAACGUCCUAAGCUUCACUCUCUCUCUCUCUCCCUGAAUUCAUUCUCGUUCUUCUUCAAAUCUGACCUACUGCAUUUUCUGAAGAAUCAAAGCACAGCUUCACACAAAACUGGAGGUAAGCUUCACAUCCUCUGGUAACAGCUUGAUUUUUUGACUUCAUCCUCUGCUCUAGGCAAAAGUCUUCAGCACUAUAGAAGGGUCCUGAGGUUAGGAGUGGAGAUGUACCACAACCAAUUCUGCUUACAGAGGGACAAGAGUUUAACUUUACAAUUAGAAGAGGAGUUAGCACAAAAGAUACCGUUAGUGUAAACUAUGAUGACUUUGUGAAUGAUGUGGAGGUUGGAGACAUAGUUCUGGUUGAUGUCAACAGAACAUCUUUCAUCUUGUUAGCCAACUGAAAUAUUCAAUUAUGGCCUUCUCUAUCGGUCUCUUCUACAGAAAAAGACUGGGAAGAUAUCAAGUUUGGAGUGGACAAUGGAGUUGAUUUCUAUGCUGUCUCAUUUGUAAAAAGUGCUGCGGUGGUUCAUGAGUUGAAAGAUUAUCUCAAAGGUUGUAAUGCAGAUAUUCAUGUUAUCGUAAAAAUUGAAAGUGCAGACUCUAUACCAAAUCUUGAUUUCCUUUUUUGUUCAAAACAAGCACUCUAAUUUAUAGGGAUGGUAGGAGGGAAGACUAUUGUGCAGUAAUGUAUGUCAAGCUGCCCCUAGGAUUUCUUAUGAAUACAAGGAAUUUCGUUAGUUUCAUUCUAAUCUUUAUGUAGAAACUCAUGAAAUGUUGAGAUGGAACAUGAUGAUUGGAUUCUAUUUUUUGAUCAACAGGAAAUAAUAUUUUGUUGACUUUGGAAAGGUUUUUGCAAAAUGCUAUAGAGUUUAAUACAUGCUUUUUAGGAUGGAACAUGCUCCCUCAUAACCAAAAAAGCAUAGUCUAAUUACUUUAAUAAUUUUUAAAAUUGUCUAAUAUUAAUUAUAUGGUCACCAUAAUUUAUAAAAACUAAUGG